CCUACGGGAGGCAGCAGUGAGGAAUAUUGGUCAAUGGUCGGGAGACUGAACCAGCCAAGCCGCGUGAGGGAUGAAGGUACAGAGUAUCGUAAACCUCUUUUGUCAGGGAACAAAGGCGGGGACGUGUCCCCGGCUGAGUGUACCUGAAGAAAAAGCAUCGGCUAACUCCGUGCCAGCAGCCGCGGUAUUACGGAGGAUGCGAGCGUUAUCCGGAUUUAUUGGGUUUAAAGGGUGCGCAGGCGGUCUGUUAAGUCAGCGGUCAAAGCCCGGGGCUCAACCCCGGCCCGCCGUUGAAACUGGCAGGCUAGAGUUGGAGAGAAGGAGGCGGAAUGCGAGGUGUAGCGGUGAAAUGCAUAGAUAUCGCGCAGAACUCCGAUUGCGAAGGCAGCAUGCCGGCUCAACACUGACGCUGAGGCACGAAAGCGUGGGUAUCGAACAGGAUUAGAUACCCUUGUAGUC
rnacentral:rRNA from 1 species